rnacentral:rRNA from 1 species
AGUGAACGCUGGCGGUAGGCCUAACACAUGCAAGUCGAACGGCAGCACAGUAAGAGCUUGCUCUUAUGGGUGGCGAGUGGCGGACGGGUGAGGAAUACAUCGGAAUCUACCUUUUCGUGGGGGAUAACGUAGGGAAACUUACGCUAAUACCGCAUACGACCUUCGGGUGAAAGCAGGGGACCUUCGGGCCUUGCGCGGAUAGAUGAGCCGAUGUCGGAUUAGCUAGUUGGCGGGGUAAAGGCCCACCAAGGCGACGAUCCGUAGCUGGUCUGAGAGGAUGAUCAGCCACACUGGAACUGAGACACGGUCCAGACUCCUACGGGAGGCAGCAGUGGGGAAUAUUGGACAAAGGGCGCAAGCCUGAUCCAGCCAUACCGCGUGGGUGAAGAAGGCCUUCGGGUUGUAAAGCCCUUUUGUUGGGAAAGAAAAGCAGUCGGCUAAUACCCGGUUGUUCUGACGGUACCCAAAGAAUAAGCACCGGCUAACUUCGUG